rnacentral:tRNA from 2 species
GCAUUGAUGGUGUAGCGGUAACAUGCGGUCUUCCCAUUCCAAGGUGGCCGCGCUCCGGGUUCGACUCCCGGUCAAUGCA